rnacentral:rRNA from 1 species
CCCUUAGACGUUCUGGGCCGCACGCGCGCUACACUGACCAGUGCAACAAGCAUCCGUCCUUGGCCGACAGGCCCGGGCAAUCUUUGAACGCUGGUCGUGAUGGGGAUAGACUUUUGCAAUUUUUGGUCUUCAACGAGGAAUUCCUAGUAAACGCAAGUCAUCAACUUGCAUUGAUUACGUCCCUGCCCUUUGUACACACCGCCCGUCGCUCCUACCGAUUGAAUGAUCCGAUGAAUAUCAUGGAUUGAGGAUGUAAGCAGGUUCGCCUGUCUUCAUCUUCGAGAAGUGAAGUAAAUCUUAUCAUUUAGAGGAAGGAGAAGUCGUAACA